rnacentral:ncRNA from 2 species
CGGCAUCGGCUGGGGUGCCCGUCGUCACGGCGGGCUGAGAUCAUACCCAUCGAACCUGACCUGGAUCAUGCCAGCGGAGGGAGCCUGAGAUGACCGGCA